GACGAACGCUGGCGGCGUGCUUAACACAUGCAAGUCGAACGGAAAGGCCCUGCUUUUGUGGGUUGCUCGAGUGGCGAACGGGUGAGUAACACGUGAGUAACCUGCCCUUGACUUUGGGAUAACUUCAGGAAACUGGGGCUAAUACCGGAUAGGAGCUCCUGCUGCAUGGUGGGGGUUGGAAAGUUUCGGCGGUUGGGGAUGGACUCGCGGCUUAUCAGCUUGUUGGUGGGGUAGUGGCUUACCAAGGCUUUGACGGGUAGCCGGCCUGAGAGGGUUACCGGCCACAUUGGGACUGAGAUACGGCCCAGACUCCUACGGGAGGCAGCAGUGGGGAAUAUUGCACAAUGGGCGGAAGCCUGAUGCAGCAACGCCGCGUGCGGGAUGACGGCCUUCGGGUUGUAAACCGCUUUCGCCUGUGACGAAGCGUGAGUGACGGUAAUGGGUAAAGAAGCACCGGCUAACUACGUG
rnacentral:rRNA from 1 species